CAGGUGCAGGCGUUGGCGGGCGCCGCGCUCGGGGUCAACCUCCCGCCACCCUGCCACCCAAACCCUUCAAGGUCGAAGCAGGGUUCCGACGACAGCUCAGCUUAACCCUCUGCUCCGCUUCCCCAGGAGACUGCGGCGGCUCCGAGCCAGGCUCGCAGGACAGGCCGGAGGGAGAGGCCAGGCGCCCGGCGAACGCAGAGCUCACGGCGGCGGCGCGGGGGAUCGCGGGGCUACACGCGGCCGCCCGCGCGGUGAGACCCCCUCUGCCCGCCCCGCGCCCCCGGGGUCUCUGCGCCUGCGCCUCUCGCGCGCUCCCGACCCGGAGGUCGCCGGCAGAAGCAAAGGCAGCGGCUGGCCCCCGACACGCGCACGCUCUUCCUGCUCCGACAAUGUCGCUUGAAAACUGGCCACAGUUUCGCAUUCCGGACAAAAGGUUUUACCAAAUAUCUGUCUUGAGCAUGAGCGUUACUCGUUUUCUGAUCAGCGUCCUAGCUAGACUCUGGUCGCAGCGUGGGGGUCUCACCACUGCCCUCUCCUUCUUUCCUUCGACUCUAACGGAGAGGAAGAAACUACAGUUGGAAACUACAGCCAGUUUAUAUUCUUCCUGGACACUCUUGAGCUUUAUUUUCCUUCUGUUUUGCGAACUUCACAAUUGCUUGUUAGCACCAAUAUCUAAACUUACCAUUUCCCUUCACGGUUUCUAACAACUCAGACCACAUGAGUUUAAAGGAGUUCAUGGCUCAUGCAAAAAUAUACGUCAGAAGACAUGCAAGUUUCCUGUGUGUUUUAAUGCAAAGGCUCUAUGCAAGAAUGGUGCACUGAGUUACUUGCAUAGUAAAAGGGUUACAUGAAAAGCCUUUGGGAAAUUUCCUCUGCAAAAACUCAAGGCUGGUCAGGUAAACUAUGUGGAUCCAGCUACUGGCUAUGUGGUGCUCACACAGCUUGCCCACUUGCAGAGAGGUGAAUGCAGUGGCUGUGUCUGCAGACACAUGCAUCUCCAUAUUCAUUGAUUAGGAUGAAAUAACUACUCCUUUCCUACUCUGAGCAAAGCAUGAACGGGAAUGGGUUCCUCACUAUUACUUUUUCAAAGCAUAGUAGUAAGUGUCCGUAUGGUCAAGUCAAUGUUAAAGAUUCAUCUAGGGCCGAGCCUGUGGCGCACUCAGGAGAGUGCGGCGCUUGGGAGCGCGGCGACGCUCCCGCUGCGGGUUCGGAUCCUAUAUAGUAAUGGCCGGUGCACUCACUGGCUGAGUGCCGGUCACAAAAAAGACAAAAAAAAAAAAAAAAAAGAUUCAUCUAAAAAGAAGCAAUUCAAUUCAUAUUUUUAUGUUUGACACAAUUUCAUCUCACACUGAACCUGGAGUCUAAAAAGGUCAUCUUUCUGGAGAAACAAGGGAAUGAGGAAGGGACAUUCAUUUUGAAAAGGGGCCCAAUGUAAGACAGUGUUAUGAGAAAGCCCUUUGGAAGGUGGAAAUAACUCAACCAAUGCCUUCUCUCUACAGGCGCUCUUUCUCCUCCCAGUGCACUUCCUGCAGUAGGGAACUGGCCAAAGAAGAAAGGACAUCCAUAACAUCAUCCUAUGUGAGAUGUUUAUGAUUCUUCCUAGCAGAACUUCAAGCCUUGCUGGCAACAAUAGCAAAGGAACUGCUGGGGGUGUGGGGUGGAGAGACGCUCUUACUCCUUCCUGCACCUGGAGCCAGGAGCCAAGGUCUGAAGUUCACUGUGGUUCU